AGUUAAUGAGCUUGGACUAAGCAUAUGUUUUGAAAACAUAAGAAAGAAAUAUUAAUUUUCUAUUAACUU
rnacentral:tRNA from 1 species